GCUUUCGUGGUCUAGUGGUAUGAUACCUGCUUCGGGUGCAGGUGGUCCCGCGUUCGAAUCGCGGCGAGAGCC
rfam:Verticillium dahliae VdLs.17 supercont1.3 genomic scaffold, whole genome shotgun sequence.